rnacentral:rRNA from 1 species
GUGUCAGCCGCCGCGGUAAAACCAGCACCUCAAGUGGUCAGGAUGAUUAUUGGGCCUAAAGCAUCCGUAGCCUGCUUUGUCAGUUUUCGGUUAAAUCCAUACGCUCAACGUAUGGGCUGCCGGAAAUACUGCAAAGCUAGGGAGUGGGAGAGGUAGACGGUACUCGGGAGGAAGGGGUAAAAUCCUUUGAUCUCUCGAUGACCACCUGUGGCGAAGGCGGUCUACCAGAACACGUCCGACGGUGAGGGAUGAAAGCUGGGGGAGCAAACCGGAUUAGAUACCCGGGUAGUCCCAGCUGUAAACUAUGCAAACUCAGUGAUGCAUUGGCUUGAUGCCAAUGCAGUGUUGCAGGGAAGCCGUUAAGUUUGCCGCCUGGGAAGUACGUACGCAAGUAUGAAACUUAAAGGAAUUGGCGGGGGAGCACCACAAGGGGUGAAGCCUGCGGUUCAAUUGGAGUCAACGCCAGAAAUCUUACCCGGAGAGACAGCAGAAUGAAGGUCAAGCUGAAGACUUUACCAGACAAGCUGAGAGGUGGUGCAUGGCCGUCGCCAGCUCGUGCCGUGAGAUGUCCUGUUAAGUCAGGUAACGAGCGAGAUCCUUGCCUCUAGUUGCCACCAUUACUCUCAGGAGUAGUGGGGCGAAUUAGCGGGACCGCCGUAGUUAAUACGGAGGAAGGAAGGGGCCACGGCAGGUCAGUAUGCCCCGAAACUCUGGGGCCACACGCGGGCUGCAAUGGUAACGACAAUGUGUUCCGAAUCCGAAAGGAGGAGGUAAUCCUCAAACGUUACCACAGUUAUGACUGAGGGCUGCAACUCGCCCUCACGAAUAUGGAAUCCCUAGUAACUGCGUGUCAUUAUCGCGCGGUGAAUACGUCCCUGCUCCUUGCACACACCGCCCGUC